CGUGCCAGACCUGCUGCGGGCAGAUGUAAUGGACGUGCGUGUCCAUCCCGGCGGCGGUCAGGAUCAGGUGCUCGCCGGUGAUGGCGUCGGUCGAGGUCCCGGUGGUCAGGCCGGGCGUGACCCCGUCCAUGGUCAUCGGGUUGCCCGCCUUGCCGACCCCGACGAUCCGGCCGUUGCGGAUCCCGACGUCGGCCUUGAUCACCCCCAGGAUCGGGUCCAGGAUGGUGACGUUGGUGAUCACCAGGUCGAGGCAGCCCCCCUCCUGGGUGGAGAUGUUGUCCGACCCCAUGCCGUCGCGGAG
rnacentral:sRNA from 1 species